AAACUUUCAACAACGGAUCUCUUGGUUCUGGCAUCGAUGAAGAACGCAGCGAAAUGCGAUAAGUAAUGUGAAUUGCAGAAUUCAGUGAAUCAUCCAAUCUUUGAACGCACAUUGCGCCCGCCAGUAUCCUGGCGGGCAUGCCUGUUCGAGCGUCAUUU
rnacentral:rRNA from 1 species